AAGAAAUUGCGCUUGCUAUAGAUAACUGUGAGAAAACUGAUUUAUAUUUUUACAUUUUACAUUUUGCUUCUGAAGAGUCUCGGAUAGAGGGUGUGGAGAUAGUACAGAUCUUCAUACUAAAGAUGAAGAUGGAAGAACUCCCUUGCAUUAUGUUAUUAAAGAGAGUCAUGCGGAAGUAAUGCUAUUUCUAAUAGAAAAGUUGUAGAUGUUCAUGCUAGAGAUAAGAUGGAUACACUCACUUACAUUGCGAUGUUAGAAAAGGUUAUGCAUAGGUAGUAGAGAAUCUAGUAGCAAAAGAGGCAAAUGUUAAUGCUGCAGACAAUAAUGGAGAAACCGCUUUGUAUUUGGCUGUUGAAUGUGGUUUUGUAAAAUAGCAAAGGCUCUAUUAGCAGUGGGUGCAGAUAU